rnacentral:tRNA from 1 species
UGUAAGAAAGACUAAGGGAUAGUCUUCGGGCUCA